rnacentral:piRNA from 1 species
CAAGAGCUGGGACUAAAGAUGUGUGU